rnacentral:lncRNA from 1 species
CGACUCAUCUCCUCAAUCACUAAAUUUGCAUAAAUGUUGACUUAAGUUUACUUGAGAGUAAACGUGUUGAGAAGUCAAAUCUACAUUUAUCGUACGAUACACAAAGUUAGUCGACUGUAUUUAUUUAUUUUAAUUGCGUAGUCUCUUAGAAUUAAUCGGACCUAACCUAACUCGUAUUUACUUAUCCAAAAAUAAAUAAAUAGACAGUAAUGAUAAUAAUAAGUGAUUGGGCCCAUAGAAAUGCAAAAAGAGGAUAGAAUAAAACGUUACUCUCCACAUAGGAUGCCUUUCUUUCUACACAACUUCCAAACUUUAUAAAGCUCAGCUCAGCUCUGCUCUGCUCCACCACAAAACCUUCUCAUAAUAUUCUCUCCAAUCCAAUCGCAAUCUUCGCCGGAAAAUGAGCGAUGUCAUUCAUCGGCGGCCGUCGUACCUGAGCGGAUNCUUCAUUUAUCGUACGAUACACAAAGUUAGUCGACUGUAUUUAUUUAUUUUAAUUGCGUAGUCUCUUAGAAUUAAUCGGACCUAACCUAACUCGUAUUUACUUAUCCAAAAAUAAAUAAAUAGACAGUAAUGAUAAUAAUAAGUGAUUGGGCCCAUAGAAAUGCAAAAAGAGGAUAGAAUAAAACGUUACUCUCCACAUAGGAUGCCUUUCUUUCUACACAACUUCCAAACUUUAUAAAGCUCAGCUCUGCUCUGCUCCACCACAAAACCUUCUCAUAAUAUUCUCUCCAAUCCAAUCGCAAUCUUCGCCGGAAAAUGAGCGACGUCAUUCAUCGGCGGCCGUCGUACCUGAGCGGAUGCAUGUCGCCGUCGUGCGUCCCGGUGCACGAGGAGUACUCGCGCAUUCACGUGGAGAAGAGGCACCGCGGGGGGCGGAGGCUGCGCAGGCUCAUCCGGAAGAUUCUGAGCGAGAGCAAGAGCCUUUACGGCACACAGAAGCCCCUCACUUUACAGUACGACGCCGUUAGCUACUCUCAGAAUUUCGACGACGGCUGCCACCGCGACGAUCAUUAUGCUCCGUUGCACCACACCUUCAGAUCUUAGGCACGCCGCCCAACCAAUUUGUACAUAUUUUUAAGAAUUAAUCUUUUCCAAUUUUCACUCUUUUUUGGGAUCCUUUGAUUUUUUGGAUCCAUCGGCUCGUUCGAGAAUGGAGUAUAUGCUGAUGCUGCGGUUUUAUUAAACUUUUUUUUAUUAUCAAACUUUAUCAUCUCUCUCUCUCUCUCUCACACACACACACUGACUGACAAACGACACUACACUACACUACAGUACACUACACAUCAAAACCAUGCUUAAAUUCUGAUUUCUGAGUAGAUGAUUAUUUUUACAUAAUUUUAAUUUAGUUUUGGCGAAGCAUAUCGUAAAAGAAGUUGCACAUGGUGUGAUGCGGAAUCGGGUGAUGAAGGAUCGUGCACUUGUCUGCCCCUUGUGUCUUGUAGUACUGGUCCUCACAGCCGUUGCUGUCCUUCCUUGAAACUCUUAUUUUAAAUUAUAUAUAUGUGGGUUCAAAUAUUUUUAAUCAUGAUUUUGAUAAAUGAAUUUAUGGUCGAAUGUUCGAAUUUUGUAAAUGGAAAAAAUUUAUUCGCAACAAAUUCAUAAUAUUUUAUAAUGAAUUCACACUGAACUCAUUUUACACUAUAAAUUAAUAUGGUAUGUAUGAUAACCACUCUAUAUAUAUAACGCUAAUAUCAUUAUAUCCAAAUUCAGAAGCGUGGUCUAUAAAUUCCAGCAAUUUCCAGUUGUUUUCUGUUUGGUGAGUGAAGCAGCUGUUUUGGACGGACAGGCACACUCAUUUAUCUGGAAUACAUAAAUAUGCUACAUCUAAUUUAAGUUUGAUUUAUAAAUUUUAGUUGAUAACUAACAAAUAUUAAUUUUAAAUUAUUAAAAUUAAAUUAAUCUUUAAAUAGUUCAUUAAUUCUGCGGACGGUCACACCAAAGUUUUCAUUUGUAUGAAAUAGUUAUAAAGCGUGUUAUAAAUGUUUCAAUAAAUUCUAUAUAUAAACGAUACAGGUUAGGUGAAUUCCAUUUUGCAGUAUCUAGUUAUAUAAUUAUUGAGAAUUGCUUUUGAAAUGAAAACCAUGCACAUGUGGAAGUAAUAUUAAUUUCAUAAAAACCUCAUUGUAUGCAUUUUCCUUUGUGUUGAUGGAAACAUUGUUUGACUAGUGUCGUUAUGGAACUCGUGUUACCCUAUAGACUAUUUAACGGGCUAUAUUAAGCUUUGAAUUGUGAUAUUUAUGCUACAAAAUCUUUAGGUGUCUAUAUUAAUUAGUGUUAGUGGUGCAAAAUAUCUAUUGGAAAUAGUACUAAAAUUCAAUAAUUUUAUCCACUUAACAUUAUUUCAAUUGCUAAAUAUACAUAAAGAAUUUACUGCAUAAGUCCAAUGACUCGCUGAAGUAGAUUGUAUCCUGAGCUAAAGGGAAGCCAGUUCAUGUUGAAUGGUGUUGAAAAGCUGAUUCUCUAGGAAACCCUAGCUGAUCAUGUGUCACGUCAGCUAGGGGUGAGUAAAAUAACCGAAAUCGAAUAACCGAACCGAUCCAAAUUGAAAUACUAUAAUAUGAUUUGGUUUUUUUGAUUUUUCGAUUUGGUUUGGUUUCAUUUUUCAAAAGAAUUCGAUUUUUUUCGGUUCGGUUUGGUUAUGUAAAAAUCGAAUAAAACCAAAAAUCAAAUUAUAUUUAUAUUACUUUAUAUAUAAAUACAUAUUGAUAAUUUUUAUAUUAAAAUAUGUGGUGAGGAUGAUAUUUGGGCCCGUAUUCACAAGAAGAGAGCUUAACCCAAAUACCCGAUCCUAUGGCCUUAGGUCAAAACCCACUAAGGUUUGCGCAUCAAUAUUUAAUAAAACACUCAAGAGAGAACAUAGAGUUGUUGCAAAGGGAAAAUUCAAACAGAGCUGCGGAUCCAAGAGAGAGUUCGUCAGUAAGUAGGCAUGAAGAGAGGUAAGUACUUUCAUUGGUGAAGCAAGAAAUCAGAGAAGAAAAGAUGGAAAAGAUACGUGCCAGAGCAGGUUGAAGACUCAGAGGAGAAAGAUACUAUUAGAACUGGUUUGGUGGACACCUGAACAUUGUAGACAAGAAGACCUUUUAUAGAUGGAAAAUGGUGUACCUAGAAGUGGUUGUUGUAACCGUUUUGUAGGUGUUCUCUUUAACUUUCUGCAGAUUUAGAGACGGCGGGAUAUUUGAUUUUCGGCCCACGUGGAAUAUGCUAAAGAAGAAAAGACAUAGAUACCAAUGAAGAAGAAGAAAAAGGCUAGGAUUUCGAAAGGACGUAACUACCCCUGCUAUACUCAGAAUUGAUUUUACUACAAUACCUAGGGGUGAGCAAAAUCGGACUAAAACCGACGGAACGGACCGAACCGAACCGAUCGAUUUUUUCGGUGCGGGUCGGUUUUGGUCCAUGUAUUGGUCCGGUCCUGUCCUAUUUUCUUGGACCGAAAAUAUUUCAGUUCGGUGCUGGUCCCGGGGAGGCCAAAACCAACGAAAACCGGACCGAACCGAAUAUAUAUUUUAAAUAUAUAUUUAAUAUUUUUAUUAAUUUCUAAUAUUUUUAUUAAUAUUAUUAAUACUCCCUCCGUCCCAAUAAUGAAGACACACUUUCCUUGAUGGGCUGUCCCAAUAAUGAAGACACAUUUCUAUAUAUGGAAAUAAUUAGGGCUCUCCAAUAGCUUAUUAAUUGUGGCUUAAUUACGGUACAAAUAAGAAAAAAAUAACCCUAUUUUCCUCAAACCCUUUCCGCCUCUCUCAUUCUCUCUUCUCGAAUGUUAUCUAUUCUCCCAUCUCGACACCAUUUCUGAAACACUCCCAUUCCCGCCGCCCCAUCUCCUCCUCCUCCUCCUCGGCGAAGUCGUCGCCGGUGAGGCACGACCACCACCGAACACCCAUCGCCCCUCCGUUCACUACCAUCUCUGUGAAGAGAGGGAGCAGAGGCCACCCCUCGCCCCUCCGUCACCCUCCUCUUCAACCCUAGAUCUCCGGUCCUCAGAUCUACACUGCCGCAACCGCCGCCCUCCUCUCCAACCCCAGAUCUCCACCGCCGCAACCGUCAUCUCCAGAGGCUCUGCCUAAAAACCCGCAACCGCUGCCCUCCUCUCCAACCCCAGAUGAGAAUGGAAGAAGAGGGAAAUUUCUGGAAUUCCUGGAAUUAAGUGGGAAAAAGAGUGAAUUUAGUGGGAAUUUAGAAGGGAAGAAGAGGGAAUUUUUUACUCCGCUAAUUUUUAUUUUCUGCAAUUUUUUGUUUUGGAAUGGGAAUAGGUUUGUUUUGGAAUGAGAAUUGUUCGUUCUUUGCCAAUUUUCAAAAUUUCGAAUUCACAAAUUUGCUAAAGCUUCAUCAAGUCUACACUUAAUUUGCAAUUUUGGUGCUUAUUUUGAAUCAAUUUUUGGACCAGAGAUGGGAAUUUGAUGGAAAAAACUUUGAAUUGAAGCAGUUGUGAGGACUGUGGUGGUGAUAACUGCGGUUGGUGGUGAAAGGAGCAGCAGCGGCGGCAGCUCUUCGCCAUCAACCGUCCGACUGAUGGAAAGAGAGAGAGGACGCACGAGGGGGAAGGGCGGUGGGUGUUCGGCGAUAGAGAUAGAGUGGAGAGAGAAUAGAGAGGCCAGGGAGAUGAAGGUGGUUGGCGGUAGCGACUCACCGGAGGCAGGUGGCGGUGUGACAGGGGUGAGAAGGAAUGCGGCGAGAGAUAGGGGUGUGAACGUGUAAGGAAGGGGGGAGAGACAGACAAAGAAUUGGAGAUGUUCAAAAAAAUCGUAACAGUUAAUUCUGCAAAAAAUAAAUAAAUUAAAUUAAAUUAAAAAAUUCAAAUUUUAUUAAUUUAAAAUUUUAUAUUUUCAGAAUAAAUUUAAAAUAGAAGUAAAUAAAGUCUCAAAUUAACUCCUUAAUCAAAUGCACUAAUGAUAUGAUCAACAACACUUUAUUCCCUAAACUAGCUCGCCUUAACCUCCGUGCCCAAAUGAAGUGUGUCUUCAUUAUUGGGACGGAGGGAGUAUUUUUAUUAAUUUAUAAUAUUUUUAUUAAUAAAUUAAUAUUUUUAUUAAUUUCUAAUAUUUUUAUUACUAUUUUUAUUAAGUUCUAAUGUUUUUAUUAAUAAUUUUAUUUAUAUUAUUAAUAUUUUUAUUAAUUUUUAAUAUUUUAAAAAUGGUCGGUUUUGGACCGAACCGGACCGAGAACCGGUGGCGGUUUCGUUCGAUUUCGGUUCGGUCCUAGGGUUUCAGUUGGUCUAGUUCGGUCCAAAAAAUAUUGAAAUUCGAUCCUCGGUUCGGUCCGGUCAAGACCGACCGCUCACCCCAUAAAAACAUGCAUACCCUAUUUAUAGUAAUAACUAGUGUUUUACCCGUGCGAUGCACGGGAUUACAUAUGUUGUUAAAAUUUGGUUUUGCUUAAAUAUUUUUUUAAAAGAAAUAUGAAUUUAUUUUUGUUGAAAAUUAUUAAAAUUAAAAUAAAGAUAUAGAAUAAUAAAAAAUAUUAUAACUUAUUUUAAAAUUCAUCCAUUUAUGUAAAAGUUCAUAGGAUGUCUAUACCUGAUUAAGUAAGACAUCGAACAAUAUAAGCAUUUUAUUGUAACAUUCUCAAAGACACUUUUGUAUAAUCUCUAAAAUAAAUGAUUUUAAAAUAUUUUAUUAUGCAAUUGUUAUACCAACUAUGUUACUGCUAAAAUAUAUUUAAGACUAACAUUUUAAAUUACUUAAAAAUAAAGGUGAAAAUAAUAAUACAUGAAAAGACAAUUGCAAACUUGUCAUCUUAUUAUUAUAAAUUUUGGAACACUUCUUUAUAAUUUAUAUACAACAUUUGUAGAAUUAAUAAUCUACUUUGUCUUCAUUACAUAUCAAGAUUCUCAGACUUCUUCGACUUGUAACUCUAGAAAUAGCUACAUAAAACUGACUGUGACUAAAAACAGGCCUAUUAAAAAAUAAACCCACAUGAGAGAGUGAUUGACCUUGACUUUUGUUUAUAGUCAUUGCAUAAGAAACAAUAAUAGGGAACUGCUGCCGUUGAAACUUGAGCGGUAGUCUUGGAUCAACUGGUAUCAGUGUCAUCCUUGGUAUCAAUACUUGAUGUCCUGCAUUAUGGUCUGUGAGAACUUUCCCUUCCAAAAUAAAAUAGCCUCAUAUUUAAUUCAUUGCAGAUCUGGCAUUAUUUGGUUGUAAUUUUUUUACUAAAGACCACAUGGUCAGCAUGUUUGUGAUUAGAGAAAUGAUGAAUAUCAAAAGAAGAAGUGAGUAUAAGUAAAAAUUUCACACCAAAAGUUAGUUUAUAUAGGCCACGGGGAUACACAUUUGAUGGGAGAUAUAUACGAAACUUAUAUAUUUAAUAUAUUAUAUUGAAUGAGAUGCUUUGAUAAUGGAGUUGAUUUUGGUUUGUGAUCACUAAUUUCUUAGCAACAAAAACUGCAACUAACACAUGCAAUUGUAGUAAAUAAUAAGUAACCGAGUAUCGUAUCCACAUGGACUAUUAUAACGAAUCACUCUAAGUAAUCCUAACUAAACUCUAGUAAUAUUCAGGCAAAUGAAAGUAGGAAGGUUUGAUUAACAUUAAACUCAAUAGUAGUAAAUAAAAGCACGUAGAAGAAUCAAAUAUAAAAGACAACUGAUCCUAGGGUAGUAAAUUCAUUAAUUAAAUCUACGAAAUAAAUCUAUUAAUCCUAUGUACCAGUUUAAUCCAGUUAUGAUGAGAGAUCACUUAAUUAAUCAAUUACUCUCGCUAGAGCAGCAACGAUAGUAGAUUAGUAAAUUAUCUAUCUCUGUUAGGUCUCAAGAAAAUCUACUAACUCCCAAUAGCUCCUAAGAAUAGCUCCCUAAUAAUCCACCCAUCUCAGACUAGGUCUCAAACCGAAAAGCUAAACAUGCAAACUAUUGAUCAAAUAAUUCACAAGAAUUCAAGCACCAGGAAUUAUGAAACAUAAACUGGAAGGCACAAAUGUAUUAACAAAUAAAUCACAUAAAUUCGAUCAACUAUUUACAAACCCUAGAACCAGCUAAACGAAACUAGCCAGACAUAAUAAAUAAAACAUAAACAUGAUUAAGAAGAAAGCAAUUAUAAAAACUAAAUUAUAUAAAAAUCGAAUAAGAAUGAUUGUAGCAGCUUGAAUCUUAAAUCUUGAUCCAAACCUUGAAAACUGGAAAGCAAAAAUAUUCUAAAGCUAUAAAACUGAAAUAACGAGUCUCUCCGGUAUAUCUAGAUAGGUCAAAAGAGGACCUAUUUAUAGUUUUCAGAUUUCCUUCGAUCACCAUGGAAGUUGCCAUGCAAAGUAGAACUCUAAAGGAAAUAGAAUCGUGUAAAAUAAGGCAACUCUCCAGCUGGAUGCACGCUCUGGAAAACACUCCUACUCUUGCCGAAUUCGCAGCUCUCGCCAGAGGAACGACUGUCGUCAGGGAAACGGCUGUCGCCAGGGAAACAGGUCGCGCCAGAGAAAUGGCUAUCGCCAGAGGAAUGGCUGAUUUCUCUGCUCUGUCUUAUUUCUCUGCUCUGUCUUAUUUCUCUGCUCUGCAUCCUCACUUGGCUGCUCAGACUAUUGACUCCUCUGGUGAUGACUUCGCUACUAUGGAGAUUGAUUUCUCUGACUUUUCACUUCUCUGACUAUUGAGCGCUGGGCUUUACUUCUCUGAUGCUGGCGUUUCUCUGCUCUGGAGAUGUCAGUUCCUCUGCUCUGGCUUCUUGAUUUCGCUGCACUGGAGCUUCGCUUUUCUGACGCGGGGAUUCACUACUCUGACGCGCCAGAGUAUGCAUAAAAACGAGAUUCUUAGCCGGAACUCUCCAAAAUUUUCUCUCUUCAUCUCGAAAACCUAAAUCUCCUGCAAAGCAUAUAAUACACCAUAAAACGCACCAAUUUCCAGAAGAUUAUCUUAAAAUACGCAUAUACAAACCCUUGAAAAUAGAGCAAUUUAAGCAUAAAUCAGUUUGACGAUAAUAAAAAGUUGUUACAUUUUUUGGAGAUAUAUAUGGAAUGUUGCCAAAUUACACAUUUCACACUAUCACCUCUUUAUCUCUUAGAUCUGACGCCGUGCAUGCCUGAGAUAGGGCUUCUUCGUCUCCUUUGUUUAGCUGUAAAGAUGAUACAAAAAUCUCAUUAAUCAUGCAUACCAAUCAAUACCUUACUCUACUUAAUAUGUAUUUCAUAAUUUCGUUGAUAGUUGAUUGGUAUAUUAGUAUUUUGAUUUGUUAGACAAAACAUAGAAACAUAAUCAAUGUGGGUCAUGAUUUAUGGAGAUAUGAUUGGAUGAUCUAUUGUGUCGUAUUUAGAUAUUAGUAAGUAAUAUUAUUAUUAUUAUUAUUAUUAUUAUUAUUAUUAUUAUUAUUAUUAUUAUUAUUUGUCAUACUUUGCAAAAAUCACAACAAAAAAUUAAUAGCUGCCUUAUAUAGCCCUUCUUUUGUUUAUCUCCAAAAGAUUUAAUUGAAAAUAAUUAGAAAUCAAUCUAUGAGAUAGCGUGUAAAUCAAAAAUAAUUUAUAUGAGAUAUUGCUACGAGUUCGUAAAUAAUUUUUUAUUCUCUUAAAUUCAAAAAUAAUCUAUAGUCUAAAAUUGCAUGUAAAUCAAAAAGAAUAUUCACUUUUGCAAAUGACUACAAGAUCCCAUGCAAUUUAUAUUUUGAAUUUUAUUUAUUGGAUGAAUAUUUCUCACAAAAGAUUUAAUUGAAAUUAGUGAUCUACAAAUUUUUACAUAUAAAUUUCAUAUAUAGAUGAUGGGAAUAAAUGUUGUUCAAUUAAAUGUAGAUUUAAUUACAUUUAAUUAAGAAUAUAAAUUAGUCAACUUUUCAAAUAUAGAUCAACUUUCCAAAAAUGAAUUGAGUAAAAGGGUGGGAAUUUUUUUUGGCUGGAUGGACCAUCUUUUAUAUAUAUAUUCCGUAAUUACGUAAUAUUCAUUAAUGUUAAUGGUCGCGUAUCCCUUAACGACUGUAAUACAAACAAUUUACGAAGAAACAUAUGAUAAUCAAAAUAAGCAAAAUGCCCUCCAUGUUUCUUUGAGGGACGUUUACUUUCGUUAAUUAAUCAUGGAAAUAGUAAAAUUAGUUAUUUGUUUAUUUAAAUAAAUUAAACAUUUGGAAUAUCCAAGAAAAUAUAUUAUUUAUAUCAUUUAAGUUUAUUUUUCUUGAUUUAUAUCUCAUUUAAAUAGUGGUAUUGAAAAAAAAAAUCAUAUUAUUGAGAAUAAAAAUACUCAAACAUACUUAUUCGCUGUGUAAAUAUAUGAAAUGCGAAAAAUAAAAUUUUCGCUACUUAUGAGAUUCGAACUCAGGACCAUGAAUUCAUCCAAAAAGGUGAUGAAUUAACUGUAGAUCUUGAUGAUCUUAGGGCUGAAAAUUAUUCUUAUUUUAUAUUUUAAAAGAUGUUUUUAUUUUAGCUCACCAUAUAUAUAUAUAGAGAGAGAGAGAGAUAGAUAGGUUAGGUUCAAGUGAAAUCACAUACUACCUCUGUCCACAAAAAAACUUACUACUUAUUUUUAUACUAUUCCCCACCACUUAUAAUAUCUUAUUUACCCUUACUUUUCAUCGUUUUGUCACUCUCAAUACUAAUUAAAAUACUUUUUCACCAUUCCUAAUACACACAACAAUAUUUUCACCAAUCUCAAUACACUCUUAAAAUCUAUGUCAUUUCCUCCUAGAAAGUUCUUUCAUCGACGGAGGAAGUAUAUGCUUGAAUUCUAGUAGUACAUUUACUUAGGUAGUAUGUAGUACCAAAUGUGAACCAUAUAUUAUGUACAUGUGGUGCACCAAGAACGCGAAAUGUAGCAGAGGCCAUGUAAAAAUACAUAUGUAUAAACACAAAUAUGCAUUACUUUGCAUACAAAAAUAUGCCACAAAAUAUGCAAUUAAUAUAUUUUUGUCUGCAAAGUUAUGGAUAUAUAUAUGUAUUUUUGUGUUCAAUUAUAUACAUUAUAUGCAUAAUCAAGGCGACAAGCGGUGCCAAAAUAAAAAUUUAAUGAUUGUUUUUAUAAUUUUUUUAAUAUUCAAAAGUUUUAUCCUUGUGUAUAUUUUGUCAUGAAAAGGCAUCUGCCACGUAUCGCGUUCUUAGUGUGCCACAUGAACAAAAUAUGUGGUCCAGAAUUGAUGCUAUGGAGACUAUCUAAGACUUGUAUAAUACAUGAUCUCUCUCUCUCUCUCUCUCUCUCUAUCUAUCUAUCUAUCUAUAUAUAGGGAGAGGUUCAAGAAAGAACCACAAAUAAAAGAAGACCGGAGAACCAUUUUCAGCCAUUCGAUCAUCAAGAUCUACGGUGGAUGCAUCAUCUUGUUGGAUGAAUGCAGAUCCUGGGUUCGAAUCCUGAAGGGAGCAAUUUUUUUAUUUUUUGAGUGCAUUAAUUUUAACAGCGAAUGCAUUAACUUUUACAGUGUACGCAUUAGAUUUGAUGGUUCUCACGUUCUCACAAAUAAUGUAGUUCUCUCUAGAACCCACACCCCUAUCUAUAUAUAUAUUAUAUAUAUAUAUAUAUAUAUAUAUAUAAUAUCUAUUAAAUCAAUUGUUAACAUUUAUUCCUUCAAAUAUAAAUAAAUUGAUUCCAUUGUUCAAAAGUGCACUGGUGAACUUAUACGAUUGAAUGAAUUUAAUCCUUUAUAUCUUCCGAUGCAUUAUCCGCUAAUAUUCAUUUAUGGAGAUGACAGAUUAUAAAUUCUCAUUUAUUCUAAUUACUCCAUUCUAGUGAACUUAUACGAUUGAAUGAAUUUAAUCCUUUCUAUCUUCCGAUGCAUUAUCCGCUAAUAUUCAUUUAUGGAGAUGACAGAUUAUAAAUUCUCAUUUAUUCUAAUUACUCCAUUCUAAUUUUCUUCAAUUCUCAUUCAUUCUUUUUUUUUUUUCUAUUUUUUUUUUAUCAAUUUUCAUAUCUAAAAAUCAUUAUAUUAAUAUUACAACAAAAUAAAUUCUAUCCUAUGUGACGUCGUAUAACACUCCAUUUUAAUUUUCCUCAAUUCUCAUUCUUUUUUUUUCCUAAAUUUUAAUCAGGUUCCAUAUACAAAAACCAUUAAAUAUCUAAAAAUCAGUAUAUAUCUAAAAACUAUGAAAUAUCUAAAAAUCAUUAUAUUAAUAUUUCACAAAUCAAGAAAUAAUUAUUUAUAUCCAUAACGCAAUUAAUAAUGCAUUUGAUAUAGAAAUGUUUAAGAAUAGAGCUAUCUUGGCCCCUAAUGAGAUGGUUGAUACGAUAAAUGAUUAUGUCAUGUCUAUAAUGUCUACCAAAUAGGGGUGAGCAUCGGUUCGGUUCGGUGCAAAACCGAACUAAAAACCUAAAACCAAAAAUCGAACCGAUGCUUAAAUUGGGCACCGAACCGCACAAAUCAUAGUCCCAAAACCGAACCGAAAUCGAACUAAAAAAACCGUCAGUUUCGGUUCGGUUCACCGAACCGACCACGAUUUGGGCUGCCGAAAACUGUUCAAUGCCGGCACCGCUGGGUUAGGCGCAGGCAGAUGGACGCGACGCUGGAGGACUGCGGACGCCGGAAGAUGGGCGCGCCGCUGGAGGCCGGAAGAGCCGAAGAGGGACGCGCCGCUGGAGGCAGGGAGGGAUGCACCUGGCGGACAGUGAUGGGCGGACGGUGCCUGGUGGACGGCGCCGCUGGAGGCCGGAAGUCAAAGCAAAGACAAAUCUGCUCAAGUUAAUAAGCAUCCACCACCUCAAUUUCUUCACGUUCCUUCUUUCAGAAAUUAAAGCAUCCAAAUAAAUUCAUAAAGAUGAGAGACACAGACGGUGCCUGGUGGACGGCGCCGCUGGAGGCCGGAAGAGCCGAAGAGGCGAAGGCGAUGGGCGGACGACGCCAGUAGGGAGGAGGAGGACGUGCGAAAUGGAGGAAGAUGAGAAUUGAGAAUUCUGAAUUCUGAAAUUAGUGAUGCGGCGCAGCAGAUGUUAGGAAUAGGAUUUAGGGUUUUUUCUUUACAAAGUUAAUAUCUAUUGUAAAAUAUAAAUAUUUAAUAUAAUAUUAAUAUUAGUCGGUUCGGUUCGGUGCAAAACCGAACCAAAAACACAGCACCGAAACCGAACCGAAAAUUUUCGAUUUUCAUCUUUAGGAACCGAACCGAACCGACCACCAGUAGAAUUGGCACCAAACCGCACCAAUAGGGUUCGGUUCGGUUCGGUUUAGACUGUCGGUUCGGUUUCUACUCACCCCUACUACCAAAUAAAUGGUUUACCUAAGUUCAGACAGCAUUUGCAAAGAAGAUGGACAAAUUGACCUCAAAGAACAGGUAUUAUCAGUUGAAAGUGUUCAGGAUUGUCGAGUCAUGAGAUUAAAUUGAAAGAGAAAUGCAUAAUCACGCUGCUCAAAAAUAUGAUCAAUCUAAUAAGCUUUGCAAUGGCACUAGGCUGAUAGUAACUCAACUUGGGGAACACGUAAGUGAAGGCAAACUCAUUUUAGGAAAAAAUAAAUGCGCGUAAGAAGUUUUCUAUAGUUAGAAUGAUUACAAUUUCAUCGCAACUCACUAAAUUUCCAAUUCGGUUCCAGAGAAGGCAAUUCUCUAUGAGUGUUUGUUUUGCUAUGUUGAAAAUAAAUAAAAGUCGUGGAUAAUCAUUUCAAAUAUAGGUUUAUACCUGUCGAAACCUAUUUUUAGUUAUGGACAACUCUAUACGGCAAUCUCAAAAGUCACUAAAAAAAGAGGUCAUACUCAAGACGCAACAACUAACGUGGUGUAUGAUGAAAUUUUCGAUAGAUUAUGAGAUAAUUGCAAAUUUAAUAAUUUAUUCAAACUUUUAAAGUUUAAGUCAUUAGUGAUAUUAUCUAAUUUAUUAUUUUUUUAUUUUUAUUUUUUUAAUUACUGGUUCCAACUAUAGACGUAAUAUAGUUACGUUUCAAAUAAUUGUUUCUAUUUCUCUUUUAAUAUUUUUUGGAUCGAAACUUUGCUUACAUAUAAAUUUCUUAAGAUAUUUAAAUUAGGUCGGUCAAUUUCAAAUAAAUAUUAUAAUUUUUUACUUUAAAAUAAUUUCAUUAAAUUCUUUAUUUUAGUGAAAAAAAAAUCAUGAAACAAAAAAUACAUUAAUAAUUUCAUAAAUUUAUAUUUUAAUUGACCUCAUCGAAUUUCGAUGGGUCACUUACUAGUUCUUAUUAAAAUCAUCAUGUCUUCCACCUACCAUGAUAUUAGUCAUUUCAUUCCAUUCUUAAUUUUUUAAAUUUAAGUUUUGACAUGUAUAUUUACAUGAAACAUUAUUAUUAUUAUUAUUAUUAUUAUUAUUAUUAUUAUUAUUAUUAUUAUUAUUAUUAUUAUUAUUAUUAUUGUUAUUAUUAUUAUUAUUAUUAUUAUUAUUAUUAUUAUUAUUAUUUAUUUAUUUAUUUAUUUUUACUUAAAAUGUAUAAAAUACUUUUUGAAUAAAAGGUAAAAUAUUAUCAACUUUAUAUAAGCAAUAGUGUAAUAUAUGGAUUGAAAUUGAUGCAACACAUUGCAUAAUCAUAUAUAAUACUCCAUCCGUCCGUCAAAAGUGGGGCACAAUUACUAUAUCGGGCUGCAAAGAGUGUACCGCUUUCCUUUUAAGGAAAUGGUCCCACCAUCCACUUUAAUCUUUUAACCUUACAAACAUUCUUUAUUUACAAAAAAACUCACUCAAAAUUCAAUCUCAACCACAUAUCUCAUAAAUUGAUGAGACCCUUUCUCCACUACAUCAAAAUCAUAAUCAAUUUUAUUAAAUCCCGUGUUCAACUAAAGUGCCCCACUUUUGGCGGACGAAUGGAGUAAGAUUAUACAUUUUUUUAUUUAGUUUGUUCUCCUUCUUUCUUUCAUGUUCUUAUAUAAGCAAUAGUAUAGUAUAUGGAAUAUUUUUUCCCCCUUAUUUAUUGUACAUUAACAAUUACACUAACUAAUUGAUUUUUUUUCUAACUUAUAUAUACUAAAAAGAUUGUGUCUAGAUCAUUAAAAAAUGUGUUUAACUAAAGUAACUAUUUACAGUAUAACAAAUACAAUAAAAAUAUAUCAUUUGUAAAAUUUAUAGAUAUAUAUUUUUAUGCUGAAAUAGUAUUAUUUUUAAAUGAGAAUUGAUAUGCUUACAACUUAACUAUGUUAUUUGAAAUUUAUGCUAAAAUUUUGUGUAAUCCUUAAUAAUAUUUAGUAUUAAUAUAAUUAAGUAUUAAUUAAUUCAAGCGUUUAAGUUCUAUAAAGUUAAAGAAAAAAAUAGAAUUAUAAAUAUUUAAAUCUAUCUACCGACGAUCAAUUUUUUUAAUUUACAAGAAAAAAAAAGUGUUUAUACUAUAGAACUAUAUAUUACAUCCACAAAAUUAUCAUUUUAAUUUUUAAACUUGCAAAUAUUCUUCGUGAAAUACAUCAAUAAAAUAUUUAUCUACAAAAUUAUAUUUAUAAUUUUUAUACUUUUAAAGUGAUGUAAAAGUAAAUUAGUAAAAUAAAAUAAUUUCAUUCUAUUCUCAAACUUUAUUUUUAGCUACCAAUCAUAAGAAUGAAAUCAAACAAAGAAUCAAAACUUCAUUCCUUUUGUAUUCCUUGUGCAUACCAAACAUAGGAAUCACCUAAGAUUUGUCAUUCGUUUCACAUCUUCAUUCCAUUCCUACUUCCAUUUCAUUCUACCCUCAUUCCAUUCUAUCGUACCAAUCACCUUCUUAAAUUCUCUCCCUCUUUCAUUUUUUUAGUUCAAUUAACUUCAGUACUCUUUCUUAUUUUUAUUUUUAGUUGGGAGAGAGAAAUUGGGAUGGAUUCUUGAUUUCUUAGUUCUUUACGAAAAAUGAAUGCCAUCAAACAAAUUUUGUUGAAGUUACAAGUGCUACUAGAUUGAAAACUAAAAGUUCCACUAAUAUAUUGGAAAAAAUUGUUAUUUUGGUGUGUAUUUUGUUUUUAUAAAUUUAAUUUAUGUAUUAUUGAAAAUAUUUUGUUUUCUAAAUUCGAGUUAUCGUAUAAAAUAUGCACUCAUCCCAUUUUGAGUUAUGUUUAAAUUGGAUUCAGUAUGAGCAAGGAUCAGGAAUCUAUAAAUAUAUAUAUAUAUAUAUUCAAAAAACUUAACUUUUAGAAAUGAAUUUUUUUUAAUAUAAAAAAACUUACUUAUUACAAAUGAAAUUAAAAAAACAAGGCAAAUAUUUACAACUCAAAAUGGGUCGUCAAAUCACUUUGUUAAGAAAAACAUUGGGCCUGUAACAUAAUAAUAAUGGGCUGCAUCAACUAUAAAUGGGCCAUGCUCUCAAACAAGCCCAAGUAGAGUCCCUUAUCAUUCCUUUGUGGUAAUUUUAUAACUCCAAAUUAAAAACUUUAUACUAAUUCGUAGCCUCCAAACAAUGUAAAUUUUAUUCAUCCAUAAUUCAAUUCCAGUCAAUUUUUGAUGUUUUGGUGUAUCACCUCAAUUUUUGAAGAUCACAAUCACUACACUCUCUCCUAAAAUGGCUUCCGCCACCAAUCAAUUAUGUCUCUUCCUUCUCCUCAUCACACACUCACAUUCAAUUUUUCAACAAAGACUCUGUCAUCCCCUACGCCGAACAACCCAAAUUCUUUCAUGAAUUUGUGUUAGAAAGAUAAAGUCGAGAAUGACGCAGGUGUCAAAAAGUUGAAUCAACAACAAUUAAACCGCAAGAUCCAAUGGUGUAAAGAAGAGAAGACGAAAUCUAAAACUUGCCCCACAAAAAAAUUGGUGAAACACUAAGACUUUGUCACCAAAAUCAUGAGAAAAGACAAAAACUUAUAAUUACAAAAUAAAUCAAAAAUAUAUAAUUUUGUGUGACUUUGGGUGGCUAGCUAAUCCAAUGUCAUGAGAAUGACAUCACCAUGUGACACUCUUUUAUUGGUGCCACUUAAUUAUAUAUUAAUAUAUUUUUUAAUUUUAUACUAUAAAAUAGAAAAAUAAUUAGGUCAAGUGAAUGUCACUUAUGGGAGUAGAAAUAAGAUGAAAGUUGGGUUGUUUAUUUGAAGGAGAGAGAAAUAAAUAUUUUAAUUGAGGGUUGAGUUGAGGGAAAGUCACUGAUGAGAAUAUUCUAAUAAAGAUAGCACAAAGACAAAUAGAAGAUGAGAGAAAAAUCAUACAUCUUGCAUUGGGUCUGAGAAGGGUUGGAGAAGUUUUUGCAAUUUCUUUUUCCUUUUUUAUUGGGAACUCCCAUAAUAACAUGCAACGUGACUAUUGUAAAAUUCACAACGUCAUUUUCAAUAAUUUAACACCAAAAAAAAGAAAAAGAAAAAAAAAAACAGUUUUGAUGAAAAAUGAAAUGAAAUUCUAAGAGUAGAUCAUCAACCAAGAAAUGAAUUUUACAGCAAAAAGUCAUGAGAAAAUAGUGAGUUGCAUAUGAAUUUAAUGGUGAAGCAUACUCAAGAUGAGUUUGAAGAUAAAAUCAAUAAUUGCCUCGAUUGUUAUUUUACAUAAUUUGAGAUUAUAGAUUGUAGGGUAAUAUAGUAAAUCUACAAUUAUUUUACUAUUAUUAUUUAAGAUAGGAGGCUAUACAGAAUAAAACAGAGACUAUGAAUAGAAUUACCCAAACUUCUUAAGAGUCCAAUCUUAAAUUUCUUAUUCAAACUUGAAUUAAGCUUUAGGAAAAAUAAUUUAAACCCCAAAGGCCCCAAACUUUAUAUUAAUAGAAUAAUUUCUUAAAGCUUUUUCAUCAAGACUCGCUUUCAUGGUGAAAUUUAAUCUAAUCGUAUAUUGACUAUAAAAUUAGUUAGCAAAUCAAGGAAAAAUCAAUUUUUCUCAAAACUUUAAUAAUUUAUAUCUUCUUGUAAAACCUUGGUAAAAUUCUUUGUUACAUUAAAAUACUUUCUCAAAAAUUUUCUUCGGACAAGAAACGACUUAAUAAAUGAAAUUCUAAAUUAAAAUUUCUCAUGAAAUUUUAAUAAGGAAAAGUCGGGUAUUACAAAUUCAGCUCAUACACAACAAACAUUAUGUGUUGUUUUAUGAGAAAAACAUCUGUUGCCUGUUCUAUGACAUUUUUUUAUGAUAUUCAAAUCCUAUGUUUUGUAAUACCAAAAUAUAUGACAAAAUUAAAAUAACUAAACAUCAAAUAAUAAAAAAUAGUCAAAAUUCAUUAAUAAAAACUUCUAAUGUUUGAUAUCUCAUCAAAAGAGAUAACAUCCCUAAUUGUAUUAGUUAGAUUCUGAACCAUCUACUAAAAAAAAAAUUAUAAUGUAAAAAAAUAAAAUAAAAUUUCUGAUGUAAUCUUCUACAUUUGAAGGAUUCAUCAAGUGCUUUGUGCUUCAAUUCCCUCAAUUUUGGCACUGGAUUCAACAAUCAUCCAUGUGUCAUCUUCUAGUUGAUCAACAAGCUCAGCCAGCGGGGCUUCUUCUUCAACAAUUGGCACAUCGCCAUUCUCUGCGGGAGGUGUGUUAUUCUCAUGAUUCUCCGGAGCUGUUGCUGGCACUGGCAGUGUAAGUGUAGUCGGCAAUGAAUACACUAUUAAGCACAAAACUAGCUACUAAGAUGUCAAAUAGCUUAUUACCUGCCUCAACAUACCGAAACAUAUCAUUCAAAACAAAGUAACCCUUGUGCUGAGGCGCAAGGAAAAAAGAGUGUGCAAAAUCGCGGCUUCUCUUGUCCUUCCCCGUCAUAUACCCACUUACUAGAACAAUCACUCCACCAUUAAACGACUCUUGAGAAUCUAUUGACUUAAUCACCACACUCAAAUCACCAUAUUUGAGCCCAAGAAGCUUCUCAUUUAUGGCCUGUUCAUGAUCAACACACAUUUAUCAACUACAUAUAUAUCUAAAUAAGAGGGAGAGGGAGUGGAAUUACUUUGGUAGUGGUAGUGAUGCUAAUGCUGCCAUCCUCUUCUGGACGACCAACCUUACUUAUGUCCUUAUAAAACAUAUGAAGAAGCUCCGGCGACACAUGCAGCACGUGAUAAUACUGGCUCACAAAUGCGCGCCCAACCUAUCUCCCACCAAACACCUAAAUUAACAAUAUACCAAAAAAAAUCCAAAAGAAAACAAUAACACCAGCUCUUACAACUUGGGCACUAACUGGUUGCUGUGCUGCCGCCGCCAUCUCCGAUCUCACCAACGACCUAAUAAUAACACAUCAAUACCGCAUUCUAACGGACUCUUCCCCUACCAAUCAAAUACACGUAAAAAGGUAAAUCGGAUCGUUGUCGUACCUGGAAGAAAAUCGUAUUAGCUGCAGAGAGCACCAGAAAGGAACCGGAUUUUUCGGAAAACUCUCUACUCUGAACUCUGAAAAGCUGCCGCUGCUCCGGCGACGGAAUCUAGGGUUUGGACGAUGUAAAUGGAGGUGCAGCGGUGGAUGUCGAAGAGGUGCGAGCGAGGGAAGAAUGGAUAGAGAAGAAGGGUUUCUGAAGAUUUAUGAAAUCUUUGCGUGAUAUAUAUAUAGCGAAUAUCUUUUAAUCAUUAUAUAUGUUACGAUUAAAUUAUGAUUAGUGAUUUAGGAUUGGGAUUAGAUUGCGUUUCCUAUUGAAUCUCUACAACUUAAUUUCCAUUAGCCAGAGCGUUGUACUUGUACAACAAACAAGUGCAAAUAGAAUCUAUCUAUGUAAUAUAUAAAAAACGAGUUUUUCCCUCCUUUUUUCUCCCUCUUCUCACACCAAAUUUUUUUCUUUUCCCUUCCUCUUCUUUCUUUUAUUUUAAUUUUUAUUCUUAUUUAAAAUUUUCAAAUUUGAUUUAUGGAAAAAAUAUUUAAUCUGUUUCUUAAAUUUAAGUUCAUGACAAAUCUUUAAUAUUGUAUAAAAUGGGCUUCAUCAUGGGUAAAUCCAUGUAGAUUGCUGGCUUGUUAAUAUAAAGAAACAAAACGUAUAGAAAGAAAAGAAACAACAAACAAAAUUAAUACUUUAACCAAUAUAAUUACGGUAAUUUUUUUUAUUUUUUUUUAAAUACAGCAUAACAGAAAAAAGUACAAAUGGCCAAUAAUAUCAGGAAGCAAAUUUGCUGCCGGAAGUUGCUACCCCAAAUUUUUUUCACCCUAUUAUAGUACUUGUAGUGGGCAAAUUUCGUAUAACCUAUUUAAAUAUAUAUUCGCGGCCCCAAAAAUUAGACCCAAUCCAAGAACUAAAUUAAUCUUAAUUAAUUCAGCUCAACAUUAAGUUGUCAGGCCCAGCGACUGAAACCCUAGAGAGGGCAACGACUUGAGGAAGAAGGCAAGAAGAGAGGAGGAACGUCAAUCCCACGAAUAUCGGAACAAUUAGGGUUUAAGGAGACGUGUCAGCUAAACCCUAGUCGUCAGACUACCACAAUAUAAACAAGUAUCAACUAGGUGAACAGGGCCAUUCAUUCGUAUUCUCAGCUACUUGUAACAACCCGCUAUUUUAUUAUAUUUAAAUCCAGUAAUAUGAUAUUAUUAUUUCAUCUUUCAGUAAAUCAAGCCCAGUAAUUAUUUAUGAUUUAAAUUCAACUUAUGACCUUGGAUUAUAUUCAAUUAAGCAGGAUUAUUAUUUUAUUACCAAGUUCAGUAGCUUCGCGUAAAUAAACCGCGAUGAGAAUUAUUGAGUAAGCCAAUAAUUAUUUCAGAUUCAUAACUGACUUAACGAAGUCAUGUUAUUUAUUAAUCACAAUAGAAUUAUUUUUCUAUUUUUUAUAUUAUUUCUUNUUACCUGCCUCAACAUACCGAAACAUAUCAUUCAAAACAAAGUAACCCUUGUGCUGAGGCGCAAGGAAAAAGAGUGUGCAAAAUCGCGGCUUCUCUUGUCCUUCCCCGUCAUAUACCCACUUACUAGAACAAUCACUCCACCAUUAAACGACUCUUGAGAAUCUAUUGACUUAAUCACCACACUCAAAUCACCAUAUUUGAGCCCAAGAAGCUUCUCAUUUAUGGCCUGUUCAUGAUCAACACACAUUUAUCAACUACAUAUAUAUCUAAAUAAGAGGGAGAGGGAGUGGAAUUACUUUGGUAGUGGUAGUGAUGCUAAUGCUGCCAUCCUCUUCUGGACGACCAACCUUACUUAUGUCCUUAUAAAACAUAUGAAGAAGCUCCGGCGACACAUGCAGCACGUGAUAAUACUGGCUCACAAAUGCGCGCCCAACCUAUCUCCCACCAAACACCUAAAUUAACAAUAUACCAAAAAAAAUCCAAAAGAAAACAAUAACACCAGCUCUUACAACUUGGGCACUAACUGGUUGCUGUGCUGCCGCCGCCAUCUCCGAUCUCACCAACGACCUAAUAUAACACAUCAAUACCGCAUUCAACGGAUCUUCCCCUACCAAUCAAAUCACGUAAAAAGGUAAUCGGAUCGUUGUCGUACCUGGAAGAAAAUCGUAUUAGCUGCAGAGAGCACCAGAAAGGAACCGGAUUUUUCGGAAAACUCUCUACUCUGAACUCUGAAAAGCUGCCGCUGCUCCGGCGACGGAAUCUAGGGUUUGGACGAUGUAAAUGGAGGUGCAGCGGUGGAUGUCGAAGAGGUGCGAGCGAGGGAAGAAUGGAUAGAGAAGAAGGGUUUCUGAAGAUUUAUGAAAUCUUUGCGUGAUAUAUAUAUAGCAAUAUCUUUUAAUCAUUAUAUAUGUUACGAUUAAAUUAUGAUUAGUGAUUUAGGAUUGGAUUAGAUUGCGUUUCCUAUUGAAUCUCUACAACUUAAUUUCCAUUAGCCAGAGCGUUGUACUUGUACAACAAACAAGUGCAAAUAGAAUCUAUCUAUGUAAUAUAUAAAAAACGAGUUUUUCCCUCCUUUUUUCUCCCUCUUCUCACACCAAAUUUUUUUCUUUUCCCUUCCUCUUCUUUCUUUUAUUUUAAUUUUUAUUCUUAUUUAAAAUUUUCAAAUUUGAUUUAUGGAAAAAAUAUUUAAUCUGUUUCUUAAAUUUAAGUUCAUGACAAAUCUUUAAUAUUGUAUAAAAUGGGCUUCAUCAUGGGUAAAUCCAUGUAGAUUGCUGGCUUGUUAAUAUAAAGAAACAAAACGUAUAGAAAGAAAAGAAACAACAAACAAAAUUAAUACUUUAACCAAUAUAAUUACGGUAAUUUUUUUAUUUUUUUUUAAAUACAGCAUAACAGAAAAAAGUACAAAUGGCAAUAAUAUCAGGAAGCAAAUUUGCUGCCGGAAGUUGCUACCCCAAUUUUUUUUCACCCUAUUAUAGUACUUGUAGUGGGCAAAUUUCGUAUAACCUAUUUAAAUAUAUAUUCGCGGCCCCAAAAAUUAGACCCAAUCCAAGAACUAAAUUAAUCUUAAUUAAUUCAGCUCAACAUUAAGUUGUCAGGCCCAGCGACUGAAACCCUAGAGAGGGCAACGACUUGAGGAAGAAGGCAAGAAGAGAGGAGGAACGUCAAUCCCACGAAUAUCGGAACAAUUAGGGUUUAAGGAGACGUGUCAGCUAAACCCUAGUCGUCAGACUACCACAAUAUAAACAAGUAUCAACUAGGUGAACAGGGCCAUUCAUUCGUAUUCUCAGCUACUCCACCUACUCACGUUCUCAACUCUCUUCACUUGCUCGAUCUCUACGCCUCCACGCUCUCACGUUCUGGAUUGGGGUUGCUCUGACCAGUCAGACAGACCAGCCAGACAGACCAGUCCGACUGACGAGAUUCACUAUCUCACCGUUGCUCUACCAUUCAAUCAUCUUUACGCAUUAUAUUCAUUUUUCUUGUCAAUUAAUUCGAAUUAUUUGACUGACUUGAGCAUCGUAGGCCCUUCCAUCAACACCCCCACCGGUGCUCCUAGAAGAGCUCUAACGUGUUUGUAGUUUCAGGUUGCUAGUGCCCGCCGACCCGGACGUACCCGACGUCCUAUUCAAGUGAUUGUUGGAUCCAUCCCCAACAGUACUCUACCUUAUAACUACCUUGAAACUAAUUUCCACUGUGGAGGCCCUAACGAACUCCACUUUUUUUUAUUGUCUCAUUAAAAUAUUCUUGGUACAUCCAUCAUUGCGACGAGUAUCGAAAUUAAACGAUGUUUUAAAUAAUCACAACUUAUUCGUUUAAUUAUAUUUUACAUUAGUAUAUAAAUUUUUUUAGAGUAAUAAUAUUUUCAAACUAAUGCGGACAAUAAUUAAUUAACAAAUACGUAUAAAAAAUAUUAUAAUCUUUAUUGUAAUUUUAUUUAAACAUGAAGUGAACUUCUUAGGUAAGCAUGAAUUAAACGUAAUUGUUAAAGUAUUUUCAUACUCAAUUUAAUUGUCAUUGUGUAGACAAUAAGUGUGUAGAGUUUUCAAAGAUCUGAACUGAAUGUUGCUUUGAGAGUUGCUUCUCGAGUUCUUCUUGUUCUUCCUACUUGAGUUGCUUCUGCAAUUUCAUGUUUCUGGCAACCUAUUUCUUGCGGGUUUUGGGGCUUUUGUUGGAAAUCUACUUGGGCCUUCCUACGGAUUUUUAUCUAUCAGAUCUCCAGAUUGCAUUGGAGUCUUCCUUCCUCGGGUUCCUGUGAACCCUAAUUUGUGCCGCCACAAGUGGACUCUAAUAUGGUGUUGGGAACUUAUUGAAAUAUCCUAAUCCUUGUUUUGAUGAUACCAAAAUCCAUAGGCCUUAUUUGUAAUAGACUAGAACUGUUCGAACUCAAGUGUUAGAGUUCUUUUCUAGGGUCGGGAUCGGGUACCCUACCCGAAAAAAUUGGGUACCCGGUCCCGAUUAAGACGGGAAAUCGAUACCCGAUCCCGAACCCGAAAAAAAAUUGGGUACCCUAAUACCCGACUAGGGUAUUCGGGUACCCUAAUUACCCGGUCAAAAUUAUGCAAAUCAGUUUAACAAAGCAAAAUAAAGCACAAUACACAUUGAAUUGAGUAAUUAAAAAAAAGGAAGAAGAAGAUUAGAAGAAGAAGAACUGUACCUGGGAGUGGGGAUGGCUGGCGGCGCGUCUACUGGGAGCUCGGAGGCGGCGCAGCUGCUGGGACGACGGAGGCGGAGAGGCUGGUCGACGAGCUGCAGGCGGAACAUAGGGAGUUGGGCGCCUGGCGGACAACAGACUGGGCGAUGGUCGCGACUCCCGAGAGGACUGCACCACAGCCGCUGGAUCGUGGCGGGCGGCGGGUAGGAUGACGAAGGCCGGCGCCGGCGACGUUGGGUCGUCGAGCAAACGGAACAGAGGGAUUGAGGGCUGGGCUGGGGCCUGGGGGCGCGGCGGGAGUCGAGACUCGGGAGAACAGGGAGGGAGUAGGUAGGGUUACAGUUCAGUAGUUCACUCAUUUGAUUUGAAAAUUGAAAUUAAGGAAUUAAAAUUUAAUUAAAUAAUUUAAUAUAUAUUUAAUAAAAAUCGGGUAUUUCGGGUAUACCCGAUACCCGAUUUUUCCCCACCCUAAAUACCCGAUCCCGAACCCGAUCCCUAAUUUUUUGGGUAUAGGGUACCCGAUACCCGAUUUUUUCGGGUCGGGUAUUCGGGUACCCUAUACCCGAACCCUAUCUUCCCACUCCUAUUCUUUUCUAGUUUAGUUUGCUGUUCUGAAGACUGAAGACUGAAGGACAAAGGACUGAAGACUGAAGUUACCAACUGAAGUAUCAGUUCGGAACUGAUUGCUUAAUGCGUGCCACGUGGAUUCAGCGAACUGAUACUAAAGUCAAGUAUCAGUUAAAUAUUCUUCCUCGGAUUGAACCUCCAACGUUCAAAGGAAGCCACGUACUCCAAAAGUACAGCCGCAUUAAAUGCAGAGAUCUCAGGAUCAUCCCUCUCUGCAGAGGUCAUUCCUAUUUGGUGGCUACUUUAUCAGAGACGUCACAUCUCCUGCUCUUCAACAUAGCCGUUCUCACCAAACAAGGAACCUCGAGGAUUGAAGCCUCAGUCCAAAUUCAAAAAGCUCUCCAACAAAAGAAAUCUUGAAGACGUUCUCCGCCAACGGAUCUAUUCAAGACCACUCCUAUAAAUAGCGCUCGAGGAUCACUUCAAUCUUCACUGAUUCAACGACAUAAGCUGAAACUCUGCCAAAAUUGUUUCUCAGCCAAAGCUUAACCUCUCCAAAGCUUGAAUCGAAGAAGAGAAUACCAAAGCAAAAAAUCAGUCACUGCUGAUUACACACAUUCUCUUAGACCUUAGGCAAACCUCUGUUUACCCAAAGCCUAGGUCAAAACGAACUCCAAAGAACUUGUUCUUUGAAGUUUAGUUGGCAAGAUUUCAAACCUCCCUUCGAGUGAUAGAAUCGAGUGUUUGAGUUGAAAAGGANNNNNNNNNNNNNNNNNNNNNNNNNNNNNNNNNNNNNNNNNNNNNNNNNNNNNNNNNNNNNNNNNNNNNNNNNNNNNNNNNNNNNNNNNNNNNNNNNNNNNNNNNNNNNNNNNNNNNNNNNNNNNNNNNNNNNNNNNNNNNNNNNNNNNNNNNNNNNNNNNNNNNNNNNNNNNNNNNNNNNNNNNNNNNNNNNNNNNNNNNNNNNNNNNNNNNNNNNNNNNNNNNNNNNNNNNNNNNNNNNNNNNNNNNNNNNNNNNNNNNNNNNNNNNNNNNNNNNNNNNNNNNNNNNNNNNNNNNNNNNNNNNNNNNNNNNNNNNNNNNNNNNNNNNNNNUUCUUUCUAGUUUAGUUGCUGUUCUGAAGACUGAAGACUGAAGAACGAAGGACUGAAGACUGAAGACUGAAGUUGCCAACUGAAGUAUCAGUUGAAGAAUCAGUUCGGAACUGAUUACUUAAUGCGUGCCACGUGGAUUCAGCUGACUGAUACUAAAGUCAAGUAUCAGUUAAACAUUCUUCCUCGGACUGAACCUCCAACGUUCAAAGGAAGCCACGUACUCCAAAAGUACAGCCGCAUUAAAUGCAGAGAUCUCAGGAUCAUCCCUCUCUGCAGAGGUCAUUCCUAUUUGGUGGCUACUUUAUCAGAGACGUCACAUCUCCUGCUCUUCAACAUAGCCGUUCUCACCAAACAAGGAACCUCGAAGAUUGAAGCCUCAGCCCAAAUUCGAAAAGCUCUCAAACGGAAGAAAUCUUGAAGACGUUCUCCGCCAACAGAUCUAUUCAAGACCUCUCCUAUAAAUAGCGCUCGAUGAUCACUUCAAUCUUCACCGAUUCAACGACAUAAGCUGAAACUCUGCCAAAAUUGUUUCUCAGCCAAAGCUUAACCUCUCCAAAGCUUGAAUCGAAGAAGAGAAUACCAAAGCCAAAAAUCAGUCACUGCUGAUUACAUACAUUCUCUUAGACCUUAGGCAAACCUCUGUUUACCCAAAGCCUAGGUCAAAACUAACUCCAAAGAACUUGUUCUUUGAAGUUUAGUUGGCAAGAUUUCAAACCUCCCUUUGAGAGAUAGAAUCGAGUGUUUGAGUUGAAAAGAAGUUCAGAAAGGUACUCUGACUCCAUAAGAUCCUAGUGCAGGUUCGUGCUAGGAGUGAGAAAUCCAGUGAGAGUGAAGUGUUGGUACUGAAGAUUGGAUCUUCAGUUGAUUCGGUUGUGUGCACCCGACUAAGCACACGGAUAGUUUUGCAGUGCAUCAGUUAAGCACUUGCGGAGUAAAGUUGUUGGUCUAAUCAACCGACCGUGGAUGUAGGAAGUAUUUUUCCGAACCACGUAAAAAUCUCUGUGUUAUUUACAGCUUUCAGUUUUACAUUCUUACUUGUGCUCUUUCCAUUGAUAAACUGAACACUGACUAAAUGCAAAGAGAAACCUAAGACUAACAACGUGCUCAACAAAGGCUAUUACGAAACAAAGUUAUUUAUGCUGCGUAUGUUAUCAGUCUGACUAAUCUAUCAUCUGAUAGUCAGGAAGACUUGUAACAUCUCUGUUUUAGCAAACUCGACUGAAACCUUAACGUGCAUCAGUUAAGUUCUAGUGACUUAACUGAUAACUCUUUACUGAAGAGUAUUUCAGUAUCAGUCGUCAACCUUGUUUGGUCAAAACUCCUUUCAAUUAACAGGCGUCUAAGUUUGCGUGUAAAGUUUCGUUUUGAUCUCUAUCUUGAGAUCCCUUUGAUUUUAAGAAAAAUAGCUUAUAGGUGUAUUCCCCCCCCAUACACCUAUUCGAGACCCUUCGGACCUAACAUAUGGGCCGGACCUCAACCCAACAUCUUCUAGGGUUUGGCUAUAUAUGGAAGACGCAGAGGACCUGUUGCGACUGCUGUUUUUUGUGUUACUCUUCUGCAUUCUUGAGAGUAUUUUCGUAGCCUUUAUUCAAAGCAUACAAUACAUGUAAGUGUGUUCUAGUUUGUUGCUUAUUUCAUCUUGUAAGCGUUGUGGGUUGGUUUAGUACUCUGACUCCUUGCUCUAGCCUGUUGGAGUAAAUUUAUUUGUUGGGUUUUAGUGUUGAAUGUGUAGCAUUCAAGCUUAGGGAGUGAGUUGUUAAUUUGCUCUCAAUUAUUCAUCUUGGUGGAUGUUUGGGAAGAUAUAUAUAGAGGCUAGGGAGAACGAUUCUUCGCGUGUAGGUCCUUUGUAUAUCUUAUCAUCACUAGUGGAUAAUUUACCCUGGGUGUGGCCCCUCAGACGUAGAUGUUUUAUCACCGAACUGGGUUACCAACUUUGGUGUUCUUGUGUUCUUCAUAUUUGUACACGAGUUUCUGUUUGAGUCUCUCUGUGAGAUAUAACUUCUGCGUGUUGCUGCUUCAGUCUCUCUGCGAGUUUUAACUUUUAGGUAUGCGAGUUUAAAUGUGUUUGGAUAGGCGAAACUUUCAGUUUUAACAUUAAAAUAUAAAAAAUUAUUAAAUUUAAGAUCUAAAAAAUUACAUACAAUUAUUAACAAACCGUAUGUAUAGUACUCUCCCCCCAAAAUAAGUAUCUGUAUUUUUUUUUUACCCGUCUUCCAAAUAAACUCUUCAAAAAGUAUAUUUGGGUUGAAAUAGUAGAAGCUCACUAAAACUCAUUCAUUAAAACUAAAAUAAAAAAUCCAAUAAUUAUUGUGAGGUGCAGUGAUAUCACAAUUAGUAAAUAAUUAGAUAAAUACAAAGUCAAGUUACAUUCAGAGUCAAUAUAUCAAAAAAAAGAAUUAUUAUGGUGAUAAGAAUAUAUAUAUUGGGUGGGGUUAAUAAGAAACCCCCGCUUAAAUGAAAACUAGAACUUAAUCUUAGCCUUUAAAAUUGAAGAUCUAGUGGUUAGGAUUGUUUCAUUUAAUAAAACAUGCCUAAUUAGAUAUCCUACUUAAUAAGUGCCGUUUUUUUUAGUUUGAUGUAUAAUUUAAAGGUUAAUUAAGUCAUUUGUAUUUUAUUGAAUUAACUAUAGAAACGAUUUUUAUGGGAUUCUUUAUCACAUUCUCUCAUCUAUAUUUAUUUUCGUUUGUGCAAUUUUAGAUACCAAUUAUGCAUAUGCAAUUAAAAUUAACACAUUAUGUAUUUAAUUAAAAUUUUCAUUUGUGCAACAUAGUACACUACAACAACUAUGCAGCUUUAUAUACCAACUAUGCAAUUAAAAUUAUAUGCAACGAACAUAAGUAGCUGUGCAUCUGAAAUAUACUCAUAAAUAAAAUUGUGCUACAUCAACACACAUCUAUGCGAUUACAAUACAUAUCUGUGCAAGUAUAUGCAUUACAAUAUUCAUCAACGAAAUUAAUAUACCGUGCAACUGAAAUCUACAUAUAAAUAAAAUGAAUUAUAAAACGAAGUGCAACACAAAAAUUAAACGUGCAACAAUGGACAUAUAAUAAAGCAACCUAAAAAUAUAUUAUGAAUACAAAAAAAAUAUACAAAAAUUGCUCUCCAAAAACACUUCUUAACUAUAUAAUAUCAAGAUGCACAGUUGCAUAGAUAUUAAGAAUUGCACAAGCAGAUUAUUGUUGCAUAGAUAUUAAAAAUUAUUGCACAAAUUCGUGAAUAAUACUAUUGGAAUGUUUAUUUGCUUUAAUUAUUUAAUUUAAGUGCAUUUUAAUAGUGAGUGGGUGCAUAAUAAAUAAUCUAUUGCACAAAAGAAUGUUUAGGUGCAUAGCUUUAAAAUAUAUAAAUUAUUAAUUGUUAAUUUAGUUGCAAUCGUAUAUACAUAUAUGUGGAUUUUAAUUGAAACAGUUGGGAUUUAAUUGCAUUCGUAUAUACGAAACCAAAACUAAUCAACUAAAACAAUUAAGAAAAUAGUAAAAGACAAAUAUAACCUUUAACUAAUCAAAAACACAAAAAUACGGGAAUGUAUAACUAAUGGAACCAUUUUAUGCGCAUGUUUUCUCAAAUUAAUCCUAACCACUAGAUCUUCAAUUUUAAAGGCUAAGAUGUGGUUCCUAGUUCUCAUUUUAAAAGAGGUUUUUAUUAGAACCUCUUCCUAUAUAUAUAUAUAUAUAUAUAUAUAUAUAUAUAUAUAUAUAUAUAUAUAUAUAUAUAAUUAUUAUUAUUAUAUAUAUAUAUGGGGCGCGCUCCAGUGAGAUCCUCUAUUUUUCGUGUAACAUGAGGACAAUGAAUAAGACAUAUAAUACUAAUGAACAAAACGUAUGUCUAACGAACAAGAUGUAUAUACUGAUGAAAAAUAAAAUUUAAAAAAUUGGUAAUGAAUAAGACAUAUAUACUGAUGAACAAGACAAUAUAUACUGAUGAACAACGCAGUAUAUACUGAUGAAUAACAAAAUUUAAAAUAUUCUGCUCCCUUCCGGAUUCGAACCAUGUGAAAAAAAUCUCCCUCCAGAUACAAUAUCAGUCAUAUGAUUGAUAAAAUAAACGCACCAAAUCGUGCCUCAUGUUACACGAAAAUUAGGGGAUCGUCCGAUCCGGUUAGUGCUUUGUGGUUGUCUUGGUUGAACCAACUUGUCCUAUUUAUGCCGAAUUUCCAUGCUCAAUUUAUCCUACUUAAGUUGAAAUUUUUAAAAUUUGUCCUGUAAUUAUAAGCUCGAAAAAAUUUGCCCUACCUUUGCAAAAUAGUCAAAGUUAUUGUCCUAAUAAAAACUUUGAUCUCCAAGGAAUCCUCCACAAUUAACUUGUUCACUUCCAACUGAAGUCAUGUUAGAUGUUAGUAAUUAGUUCCCCAUCCACUCCAAGAACCACCUUAUCUCUCAAUUCACCAAAAUCCACCUUAUAUCUCAAAUCCCCAUCCACUCCAAGAACCACCUUAUCUCUCAAUUCACCAAAAUCCACCUUAUAUCUCAAAUCUCCAAAUUCGCUCCCAAGAGGGAUCGAACCCGGGUCACUUCACUUAAGUGAGGACCCGGUGGCCAGUGGGCUAAGCCCUCUGGUUUUUUCUGGUUCUUUGCUAUGCUUAGAUAAUUAAAGGUCUCACUGCAAGUUUGUUUACUUUCAACGGAAAUAGGAUUUCCAGUUUUUGGUUCCUAUGGUUUGUUCUGAUCUUUGGUUUUUAUGAUAAUUUGGGUUUUAGUCAUUGCUUAAUCUACGUAUAUUCGUGUGAUGCAUGACGAGCAUCACGAUAUGUUUAAAUAAAUAAAUACAAACAAAAUCAAUUUAUAACAAAUGUAAUUAUAGUUUAAAAAUAAUUCACAUCAAUUACUCAAUAAAAAUCUGAACUUAAAAAUAUAAAAUUUCACCUUUAUAUAAAAUGUAAUGAUAAUUAUAGUCAUUAUUAUUAUAGAGUAUUCAUGUCAUAAUAAACAAAUAAAUAUUAUCAUACACAAGCAUAAAUAAAAAGUCAUAUUUGAAAUUAUAUUUUUCAUAUAUAUAAAUAAUAAUUCAUAUAAAAAGUUAAAAUUAACACAAAAGAUUUACUCCCUCUGUCCUAUUGAUCUUGUCCCGUAUUCCUUUUUUGUUUGUCCCACCAUCUUUUCUAUAAAUAACACUUCUCUCUCUUUCUCUCUCCUAAUUUAUCUACACAUUUAACACUACUAAUACUCUCCUUAAUAACCGUGCCGAAACCAAAUGGGACAAGCCCAAUGGGACGGAGAGAGUAUUUUUUAUGUCAUUAAAUAGAUAAAAAAAUAUUAAAGAGAGUAGAGAGGAAAGAAAAAAAAAUUUAUUUUAAAACUUUAAAUUACCAUAACUUAUUCAUUCUAAAUUUAUUUUUGUGUUUUUUUAAAAUUAAAUAUUUCUACUAAAAACUAUUAUAAUUGAAAAAAAUUUAAAUAAAAUCAUAAAAAUGUAGAAAAAUAAAAUAUAAUUGAUAUAAAAAAUUAUUGUAUAUAUUCAAUAUUAAGGAGAGAGGAAGUUGGAUAGAUGAAAAAGUUUAGUCGGAAAAAGUUGUAUAAAAGAGACAUAUAUCAUCUCAACCUUCUUUGAGUUUUACACGUAAGUAUACAUGAGGUGGUUCAAAUAAAGAUUCUUCCGGCGUAAUAACCUAAGCCAUAUAUUAUGUAUAAUUGAUUUUGUUUGAUUGAUGUACGAUUAUAAAUAUAUCCAAAGGAGAUUCCUAUAAUAUAUAGUACUCUCCCUUUCAAAAAAACGAAUUAAGUCCGAAUUAAAUUCGUAUUAAAAUUGGUAGUGGAAGACUAUAUAUAUGGGGGCAAGAAGAGGGACAGAAGCCAUCCAAAAUUUGAACCCUAAAAAAUCAUCAAAAAUUUGGAGUUGUUCCGAUGGAUAAUAGACUUUUUUAUUUUAUAAGUUUAUAAAUCGAAUCCGUAAUUCUCGGCGGAAAAAUCGUGUGUGUUGUUGUUGGAAGAUCAAAACUAAAGCAAAGCUUCAAAUUAAUAUCCGAAAUUAAGCAGGUAAUUAAUUUUUCUAUUUUUCUUCAAGUUUUCCCCUCAUUGAAAUGGUGUAAUGGCAAAAGGUUUUCAACUGAAAAAGUUCUUCAUCGCAUAUUAUUCAAUGAUUUUUGUCUGGGAUAUACUACUUGGACUUUUCACAGAAAACAUAUAUCGUCAGAAUAUGACACUUCUUACAUAAGAAAACUAGUGUCUCAAACAACUACGUACUAUUCAUGAGAUAUCCCAAGUUAGAGUGACACAAUUAGCGAUAUGAUACAUGCUGCAUUAAAAACUGAUUUAGGUGGGUAUUCAAACUGUGAAAUUGGUGAGUUGUGUGAGGGUCAAGCCCCUGAGAAUGUCGAAGGUCUUCAUGCUAAUAUUCACAAUAUCGAAAAAUACUAGCAGAAUGGAUAAAGAGUCGUAUCCUAAUUGCAAGUACUCAUAGCUAUACUUCAACUUGACCUUGAUUCACAUCAAAUGCAUGAGAGGACUCUUCGACAAUAGUUUCACUAUAUGUUGCUGGAGUUUUUAAAGGAUGUAUUUCCAUUUUUGACCUCAUUACCAACUUCUGUAUAUGAAGCUAAGAAAUUGUGUAAUGAUUUUUGUGAAGAAAAAAGUAGUUUUUUGUGAUAAAAACAUUUGUUGUAUGCACUCAGGUUUUUGGAGUGAAUUCGAAAAAAUAAAAAAAUAGUAUAAUUUUAGGAGUAUUCUCAAUUUGAAAAAUAAAAGCAAAAUACUAGUAGUACGUACAUUUUAAUUGGGGACUAGCAGUGCACAAGAAAAAACAAGAUACAUUCUUUUAUUCUUUUCUAUCCAAUGAUUUACUCUUUCAAUAAAUUGAAACGAGCAAGAUUAAAGAGCUAUAUAUUCUAAAUAUAUUUAAACAUUAAGCUAUAUAGAUAAUAGACUUUUUGAUUUAAAAAGUUUAUAAAUCGAAUCCUUGAUUCUGCGGCGGAAAUAUCGUGUGUUGUUGUUGUUGGAAGAUCUACAGAGGGUCGGAGGUAAACUUGUAUAAAGCCCUAAAACUAAAACAAAGCUUCAAAUUAAUAUCCGAAAUUAAGCAGGUAAUUACAUAUGGCUCAUCUUCCUGGCGAUAUUAUUCAGUGCAUACAAUCUCUUCUCACUGUAAAAGAAGCUGCUCGAUCCUCUCUCCUAUCCAAGUCAUGGUACGGCGCGUGGGCCACAACCCCCAAUCUCAGUUUCGAUGAAUACCAGUUGGGAGAAAGGUUGCCGCAGUUGGCGAAGAAGACGUUGCAGAGGUAUGAACAUCUCAAUCUAAACAUCCAAAGUUUCAGUCUGCGUAUGUACGGAAAACAUUCUCUGGCUAGAGAAUUGAUUUCGAAAGCGAUGGAAUUGGGGGCUACCGAUCUCACGAUUCAUGUUGAGGACGACAAUACUGUGUCGUUUGUUUUACCAGAUGAGGUGCUUGAAUCCCAAACCCUAACUCGAUUAUCUGCUUCUAGCUGCACAGUUGAACUCGGGAGGAGGAAGAAGAAAGAGGUAAUACCUUGUUUCACUCUUAAAUCCCUUAAUCUAUCCGGUGUGACUGUAAAUGGUGAUUUCUUUAAGGAUUUGAUUUGGAGAUUCCCACUGAUUGAGGAAUUAACAUUGAAACAACUGGUGAGCUUAGUUGCGCUUGAUGUUGGUGCGAUGGUGAAACUGCAUAAGCUCAAGUGUUUGCGAGUGGAGUCUUUGCGAUUGGAUUGGUUUGAUAUUAGAGAUUGCUUAUCUAAGCAUGACUUGUGGCCUCAAUUCCCUUGCCUCAAAGAAUUGGUGCUAAUUCAGGAUUCCAGGUAUAGUUAUUGUAAAAGUAUAAGAAUUUGUAGCCCGUCACUUGAACGUAUAGUCAUAUGUAGGCAUGGAAACGUGAAUGCGGAGUUUGAUGUUCCAAAUAUUCGAUACCUUAAGUUGAGCUGUGAUGGUUUCCCGCGCCUCAAGUUUGAAACAACAAUGAUGAGUAGGGAAUGGGUGUCGGAUAUAGAGAUAAGGUGUUGGCACUGCAAGUUAUUCUAUAUGUUGAAGCAAUUUGUGAAACAGGUGAGCUGCGUAUCUCGUGUUUCUCUCCAUGUAGACAUAAUGAGAGGAAAUAAUUGGGAAGAAGGAUAUGUGGAAGAUGAUGGUUUGGGUGUAGGUGAGGUGGAGAACUUGGCACUACGGGGUAUUAGACUGAUCACCUCAGCUUUUCUGGGUAAUUUAUUGCGGAUUGUCGCCCCAACUUCAUAUACCUUGCAGAUGGGAAGUGAAAGAAGAACCGCUGCAACAGCUGCGCCGUCUGCCAUGGAAGACCAACACAUUCUCAUCACUAAAUACUCGUCGCUUCCAACCCAAAUAUUUUAAUAAUUUGGAGGACUUGUUUGCCAUUCAAGAGGGGCAGACGUGUUCAGAUACAGAAUUUGUUCGCUUUGAACUCAGGCAAAAGAAGAAGAAGAAGAAGAAGACAAAGAAGAAGAAGAAGAAAAGAAGACAUUGUUAGACGAUUCUAGGCUUCACUUCCAACGGAAAUAGGUAUAAACACUUCAUGUUUAAGUAAGUUAGACUUGAUGUCCAUCAUUCAAUGAUGAGUUGUUGUUUUUUCAAUCAAAAGCCACAGUCAGGCACUAUUGUUUUUAUGAACUGGUCUCGUUAAUUUUCUAGUUUAUUAAUUCCAUUAAAUUUAGGAUUAUAAUUUUUGUGUGAUAAAUAUUUUUGUAAACUGGUGUUCGAUUAGGACAAGAAUAGGAAGAAGAAAAACAUAAUAAACAGAAGAAGGGACCGCGUAGAGUAGUUGUAAUUGAAACCCUAGAACAAAUUAAAUCUUCAAAUUUGGAGGUGAAGCCAUGGAGCUGGAGCUAGAACAAAUUAAAUCUUCAAAUCUUCAAAUUUGGAGGUGAAGCCAUGGAGCUGGAGGAGAAGCAUCCCCAAAUAAUUGCGGCUGUAAGCGAAUUUGAAAUUCCUGAAGAAGUUAUACAGCACAUUCAAUCUCGCCCCAACCUCAGUUUUCAUCUAAACGAGUGGGGAAACAGAUUGCCUCAAUUCGUGAGGAAGACUUUGCAGAGGUAUGAAGAUCUCAACCUAAACAUCCAAAAUUUCAUGCAUAACUUGCUCGGCAUAUAUAGGGAGUGUGUCGUUGUUGCUUUCGUUGAAGACACAUGAUCGAGCUGCGAGGUGGUAAAGUUUGAUAUAUAUAUAUAUAUAUAUAUAUAUAUAGGAAGAGAUUCAAAUAAGAACCACUAAUAAAAUAAGAACGGAGAACCAUUUUAAGUCAUUCGAUCAUCAAGAUCUACGGUGGAUGCAUCAUCUUGGUGGAUGGAUGCAGGUGCUGGGUUCGAAUCCUGAAGGGAGCAAAAAAAUUAUUUUUUUCGGAUGCAUUAAAUUUAAUAGCGGAUGCAUUAAUUUGUAUAGCAGAUGCAGUAAUUUUAUUGGUUCUUAUGUUCUCACGAUAAUUGUGGUUCUCACUAUAACCGCACCCUAUAUAUAUAUAUAUAUAUAUAUAUAUAUAUAUAUAUAUAGUAGUAUAUAGUAGUACUAGUAUAACCUAAUAUAAAAAAUAAACAACACACACACA